rnacentral:rRNA from 1 species
GAUGAACGCUGGCGGCGUGCCUAAUACAUGCAAGUCGAGCGAACAGACGAGGCGCUUGCUCCUCUGAAGUUAGCGGCGGACGGGUGAGUAACACGUGGAUAACCUACCUAUAAGAAUGGGAUAACUUAGGGAAACCGGAGCUAAUAUAGGUUAAUAUAUUGAACCGCAUGGUUCAUUAGUGAAAGACGGUUUUGAUGUCCCUUAUAGAUGGAUCCGCGCCGCAUUAGCUAGUUGGUAAGGUAACGGCUUACCAAGGCAACGAUGCGUAGCCGACCUGAGAGGGUGAUCGGCCACACUGGAACUGAGACACGGUCCAGACUCCUACGGGAGGCAGCAGUAGGGAAUCUUCCGCAAUGGGCGAAAGCCUGACGGAGCAACGCCGCGUGAGUGAUGAAGGUCUUCGGAUCGUAAAACUCUGUUAGUAGGGAAGAACAAAUGUGUAAGUAACUAUUCACGUCUUGACGUUACCUAAUCAGAAAGCCACGGCUAACUACGUG